rfam:Ictidomys tridecemlineatus contig053020, whole genome shotgun sequence.
GGUGAUAUAAAUUAGCUGGUAGGGUGCUUGCUUCAAAUGCAUGAGGCCCUGGGUUCAAUCCCCAGCAUCACUA